GUGAUGAUUAGAACCCGGAGGAGGUAUGACUGUCGGCAUCCUAUCUGA
rnacentral:snoRNA from 1 species